GUGCACUUAGCUCAGUGGUUAGAGCUUCACUCUUGAAUGUUGAGUUUUGCAGGUUCAAUUCCUGUAGUACACA
rnacentral:tRNA from 1 species